AGUGUAGGCGGCUAUUUAAGUCGGAUGUGAAAGCCCCGGGCUCAACCUGGGAAUUGCAUUCGAAACUGAAUAGCUAGAGUUUGGUAGAGGUAAGUGGAAUUCUGGGUGUAGCGGUGAAAUGCGUAGAUAUCCGGAGGAACAUCAGUGGCGAAGGCGGCUUACUGGACCAAAACUGACGCUGAGGCUCGAAAGCGUGGGGAGCAAACAGGAUUAGAUACCCUGUAGUCC
rnacentral:rRNA from 1 species